AAGCUUCGAAGCCUCGGCACAUCUCGUAACAUCACGACUGCAAAGUUGUUUGUGUUUGAACACUAGCAAAAAAGUGAAUGCUAAUACCAACGACUAGCAAAAAAAAAAUGGAUUUUCAUCCUAAAUUUGUGUUCCGUGGUGCAACCACCAAGCUGACUCUGAAGUCUUCAUUAGAAGCGUCGCGGCUGGCUCAAGCCUACGGGUCAAGGUGAGCUGCGGCCCAUUCGAUGAAGACAGGUGAGAAGGUGAAGGAGGAAGCCCGGACACGAGUUGUUGAGGCUGGAGGCGACGCGGGGUUGCAGCCACAAGGACGCCCUGGCAUCCUAUGCACAGCUCUUUCCUGAGAUGGUGGGUUUUAUUGCUGUAAUGUGUUCAGGUACUUGCAGUGGGUGAGGAGACAGAAAAUAAAUAAGGGGUCCCUCAUGCAUACCCUCCAGCAGCUCAAGGCAACGCAACUCAACGCAAGAGGAACCAUCAGAUGACAUGCUCAUUGAAGAUAGAGCAUGUCUCCAAGUGGAAUUAUAUAUAUUACACAUCCCCCAACAUGUCUUUUCCAAAGCCCACAGUAAAGAGAAGGGUUGGUGAUGAGCACAGACAAUUUCAGGGAAGGUGGGGAGUGCAAUAUUUCUUUGUUGAGCACAGGGGCAUCCCGACUGGUCUUAUUUGCACUGAGAAAGUUGCAGUGCACAAGGAAUACAAUUUGAAACGUCAUUACAUAACUGGACAUGCUGAGGAAAAUAAAAAAUAGAUGAGAGAGCCAAAUGGGGUGCCACUCUUCAAACAGGUCUACUGAGGCAACAAGAUUUCUUUACGAAAGCAACCAAAGAGAAUGAUGCAGCAGUCGAAGCUAGCUACGUGGUUAGUGAAAUGAUUGCUAAAGCAGGAAAGCCAUUCACAGAAGGUGAAUUUGUAAAUACGUGCAUGUUACAGGCUGCAAAUAUUGUCUGUCCAGGUCAGUUUAGCAACAUCAGCCUUUCUGCCAACUCUGUGGCAGAGCGCAUUUCUGACCUGUCAAGUGACAUUUAUGAUGAACUGUGGGAGAAAGUAAAAUGUUUCCGUUCGUAUUCAGUUGCCCUUGAUGAGACCACAGACAUCACAGACACUGCCCAGCUCGCGAUAUACAGGUAUGUCCGUGGUGUUGAUGACCAUUUUGAAGUGAUGGAGGAGAUAUUUCACCAGCUGCGUGAUGCCAUCGAUAAUGCCGGUUUGCCAUGGAAAAAGUUUGUUGGAAUAACAACCGAUGGAGCCCCAUCAAUGACAGGGAGGAAAAAUUGACUGGUGGCACUUGUAAAAAAAAACUGGAAGAGGAGGGUGUGGAGGAGGCCAUAGCUCUGCACUGCAUUGUCCAUCAGCAGGCCCUUUGCAGCAGAUGCCUGAAGUUUGACAAUGUGAUGUCUGUCGUCGUGAAAUGCAUCAACCAAAUCAGAUCCAGGGGCUUAAAGCACAGAAGGUUUCGUGCUUUUUUAGAGGAAAUGGAGUCCGAAUACUGGGGAUGAGCUCUACUUCACCGAAGUACGUUGGCUCAGCAGGGGAAACGUAUUGAAGAGAUUUUUUGAGUUGAGAGCAGAAGUGAAAGCCUUCAUGGGGAAGGAUGGGGUGGCUGUUCCUGUGCUAAGUGAUCCCAAAUGGCUCAUGGACUUAGCUUUUCUUGUUGAUAUCACACAUGAGCUUAGUGUGAUGAACAAGAAGUUACGAGGCUAGGGGCAACUUGUCAGUGCAGCCGUGAGAGCAUUCUGCACAAAACUUGUGUUAUGGAAAGCCCAGCUCUCUCAGACAAACCUUUGCCAUUUCCCAGCAUGCAAGGCACUGGUGGAUGCAGGCACACCAUUCAGUGGUGAGAAGUAUGUUGAGGCCAUUUUGAAGCUACAAGAGGAAUUUGAUCAGAUUUGCAGACUUCAAGACGCACAGAGCCACAUUUCAAAUUUUUGCGGAACCCUUCUCCCUUGGUCUGCAAGAUGCCCCUCCUGUGCUUCAAAUGGAGCUCAUUGACCUGCAGUGCAACUCUGAACUCAAAGCCAAGUUCAGGGAGGUGAGCGGAGAAGCAGACAAGCUUGGGCAAUUUUUGAGAGAAUUGAGCCCCAGCUUGCCUCAACUUUCCCGAAUGUUGAAGCGGACCAUGUGCCUUUUUGGGAGCACAUACUUGUGCAAAAAGCUCUUCUCCACCUUGAACUCCAAGUACAGGUCCAGACUUACUGAUUAGCAUCUUCAAGCUCUACUGAGAGUCUCAACUGCUUCCUCCCUCAAGCCAAAUGUGGCUCGGCUAUGUGAGAAAAAGCGCUGCCAGGUCUGUAGCAAGAAGUAGGCAAGAUAAGCCAUGUUCAAAACAGUUCAUAUUCAAUGUUCCAUUCAUGUUCAGAAAGUUAAAGGUUAAAGAACUGUAGGAGCAAAGGUUCGGACAGCAGGUGGCAGCAUUCAGCUGGAGGCUUAUAUUUUUUGACUCAAGUAAACCCAAGAGGCUGACCCACAAGGUGCUGCUGCAGUGAAUUGGUCCACCAGACUGCUAGAGUUUGGUAAGAGUUUUCUUCCUCACAUGUCAUUCUGUUUAUUUUUCACAAUAUUAAACAAUGAAUGGUGAUAUUUCAUGCAAGGUUGGCGUUCACCGUUCAUAGUUAAGCUUUGCUACGUUGUAGUUUUAAUUGACCGCCAUUGUAAUUUCCGUGUUUACUGAACCUAAACUAAGAUAAGUAAACUACUUUCUGUGGAGAAAGACGCAAUUUACGUUUCGUUUGUCAUUUGUCAUUUGUCAUUCAUCGUUUUUGACAAUACAGAACGGUAAGUGCCUGCUGAUUAUAUUAAUAAUCCUCCGAGAUGGGCGACAUGUCUUUGAUUUGAUUCAGAACGGUUUG